UGGGGAAUAUUGCACAAUGGGGGAAAGCCCUGAUGCAGCAACGCCGCGUGAAGGAAGACGGUUUUCGGAUUGAUAAACUUCUUUUCUUAGUGAAGAAGCAAGUGACGGUAGCUAAGGAAUAAGCAUCGGCUAACUACGUGCCAGCAGCCGCGGUAAUACGUAGGAUGCGAGCGUUAUCCGGAAUUACUGGGUGUAAAGGGAGCGCAGGCGGGACUGCAAGUUGGAUGUGAAAUACCGCAGCUUAACUGCGGAGCUGCAUCCAAAACUGUAGUUCUUGAGUGGAGUAGAGGCAAGCGGAAUUCCGAGUGUAGCGGUGAAAUGCGUAGAUAUUCGGAGGAACACCAGUGGCGAAGGCGGCUUGCUGGGCUCUAACUGACGCUGAGGCUCGAAAGUGUGGGGAGCAAACAGGAUUAGAUACC
rnacentral:rRNA from 1 species